UACGAAGGGGGCUAGCGUUGCUCGGAAUUACUGGGCGUAAAGGGCGCGUAGGCGGACAGUUUAGUCAGAGGUGAAAGCCCAGGGCUCAACCUUGGAAUUGCCUUUGAUACUGGCUGUCUUGAGUUCGGGAGAGGUGAGUGGAAUGCCGAGUGUAGAGGUGAAAUUCGUAGAUAUUCGGCGGAACACCAGUGGCGAAGGCGACUCACUGGCCCGAUACUGACGCUGAGGCGCGAAAGCUAGGGGAGCAAACAGG
rnacentral:rRNA from 1 species